rnacentral:misc_RNA from 1 species
GAUGAAGAACGCAGCGAAAUGCGAUAAGUAAUGUGAAUUGCAGAAUUCAGUGAAUCAUCGAAUCUUUGAACGCACAUUGCGCCCCUUGGUAUUCCGGGGGGCAUGCCUGUUCGAGCGUCAUUUCAACCCUCAAGCUCUGCUUGGUAUUGGGCUCCGUCCUCAGGGACGCGCCUCAAAGACCUCGGCGGUGGCGUCUUGCCUCAAGCGUAGUAGAAAACACCUCGCUUUGGAGUGCUGGGCGUCGCCCGCCGGACGAACCUUUGAAUUUUUCUCAAGGUUGACCUCGGAUCAGGUAGGGAUACCCGCUGAACUUAAGCAUAUCAAUAAGCGGAGGA